UGAGGAAUUUUGCGCAAUGGGGGAAACCCUGACGCAGCAACGCCGCGUGAGUGAAGAAGGCUUUCGGGUCGUAAAGCUCUGUCAAGAGGGAAGAAGGUGGUGUGUGGUAAUACUAUGCAUUAUUGACGGUACCUCUGAAGGAAGCACCGGCUAACUCCGUGCCAGCAGCCGCGGUAAUACGGGGGGUGCAAGCGUUAUUCGGAUUUAUUGGGCGUAAAGAGCGCGUAGGCGGUUUAUCAAGUCAGAUGUGAAAGCCCUGGGCUCAACCUGGGAAGUGCAUUUGAAACUAGUAGACUUGAGUAUGGGAGAGGGGAGUGGAAUUCCUGGUGUAGAGGUGAAAUUCGUAGAUAUCAGGAGGAACACCGGUGGCGAAGGCGACUUCCUGGACCAAUACUGACGC
rnacentral:rRNA from 1 species